ensembl:lincRNA Gm10505 predicted gene 10505
ACACUCAUUCAGCAACAGCAGCACCACCACCACCACCAGCAGCAGCGGACAGCCCUGAGGAGCAUGGGGCCUGCUGGGACUCGUCUCCUGCUAUGCUUCAGCUCCUGCCCAAUCACUUACCUGUGCCAGGAGAAGCCUCUGGACAUGCCUGGGCAGCCUCUGGACAUGCACUGCUCCCAUUCCUCGCUGAGAGGGCAUCUCCCUGAGUGCCUCUCCAUCCCAGUAGACUCUCCAGAUGUGCCCAGUCCUCAACUGGUGUGGCCUCACCAGAGAGACUCAGACCAAACAGGCCUCCACAGCCUCUCUCUAGACACUUUCUGGGAAACCACAGUGGAAUACAAAAGGUCCUCAUUUGCCCUGAACCCUGGGAAGCCCUGUGGCAUUGGUUCAUGAGUGCUGUGGUUGGUUAUUUGGAACUUAAUUCUCUUGGUAUUUGCCACUUCCCAGUUGUCCCCUUUACUGUUCACAGUCCCCACCUAUAAUCCUCGGCUUCCUGGCACUUCCGGAGCCCAUAUUAACGUACCAAUUUUUUGUACCCCAUUUAGGGCACCAACUGUUCUGAUCUCUUGAAGAGCUCCUCAGGCAACCUUCUGUUUCUAGCAAGAUGAUACACCCAAGCCUUGAUGACAAGGCUUGGCUCUCAACCUCCUUGCUCCCCACCUCCUGUGAAAUACACAAAGAAAUUCAGUGAUCAUCGGGGAUGCUCUGGUCCAAACACUACCUGCCAGCCAGACGCAGGAGAUGGAUGGCUCAGCAGUAAUCGUGCUGCUUGAGCUUGGUGUCUAAUGGGGACAGUAGUGACAGGAAGUUCACAGGGACUGGAAGACAUGAGUUCUCUGAGGGAAAGGAAGGUGAAGCCUGGUGCUUAGGACCCUCAGGAGACCAUAGGAUGUGAGAAGGCUCAAGACACCCAGAGGUGGGGUCAGAAACAGGGCAAAGGAGACCAAGCAUGGGAGAGCUGCAGUGGACGUGUACAGACAGGAGAAGCAGGCCCUAAAGAAUCCCUGAGGCGGCAGAGAGGCUGGGCUGUGGAACUUUUUAAUUACUUUGCAUUAGGGGACUGUAGAGACCCAGAAGCCCACCCUUCCCCUCCCCUCAUCAGCUUAGCCCCAACAUAUGGUGGCUACCAAAGUAGUUAAAUCGGCUCUUGGUAGAAAAGGAAAGAGAUUCCUCCCAGGCUCUUCCCAGGGUCCACGGCCACACUCCAGGAGGGCUCAACUCCAGGGCAAGGCAGCUGGGACAGCAGGCAGCUGAAGGAGGACUAUUACUGCACCUUAGGGAAGAGUGCAGUGGCGAGUGGGGAGGACUCUGCUGGGACCCGGGGGUCAUGUGCAUUCCCAUUUAGUUGAGCUCUGCUUAAUCCGGGCCUAGGCUCACAGUAAUGGGGAACGAGGAGAGGCUCCCAUCAGAGACCAAGAAGAUGACAGACUCUCUGUAAAGGCUGUCAGAGGGGUCUGCAUGACCAACCACACCUGCUCCUGUUCCUUUGGGGCUCUUGUGACCUCCCUGUCUUCUUGUGAGAUCUUAUGUUCCUCCAACCCUGAGAGCUACAAACCAAUCUCCGGAAUAAAAAAAUCUGUCCCUCGU